rnacentral:tRNA from 1 species
GGGCAAUUAGCUCAGGUGGAUAGAGCGUUGGCCUCCGAAGCCAAAGGUCGUGGGUUCGAGCCCCGCAUUGCCCACCA